rnacentral:rRNA from 1 species
UGUGUAGGCGGUUCUUUAAGUUUGGUGUGAAAUCUCCCGGCUCAACUGGGAGGGAGCGCCGAAUACUGAGGGACUAGAGUACGGGAGAGGAAAGUGGAAUUCCUGGUGUAGCGGUGAAAUGCGUAGAUAUCAGGAGGAACACCGGUGGUGUAGACGGCUUUCCGGACCGUAACUGACGCUGAUACACGAAAGCGUGGGUAGCAAACAGGAUUAGAUACCCUGGUAGUCCACGCCCUAAACGAUGCAUAUUUGGUGUGGGCAGUUCAUUCUGUCCGUGCCGGAGCUAACGCGUUAAAUAUGCCGCCUGGGGAGUACAGUCGCAAGGCUGAA